rnacentral:tRNA from 1 species
GAUAAGAUGGCUGAAGUUUAUAGGUUGUAAAUUGUAAAUUUAUAUAUGGUAGAUAUACCUCUUAUCA